rnacentral:rRNA from 1 species
UACGUAGGGGGCUAGCGUUGUCCGGAAUCAUUGGGCGUAAAGAGCGUGUAGGCGGCCAGGUAGGUCUGGUGUGAAAACUCGAGGCUUAACCUCGAGAUGUCAUCGGAAACCAUCUGGCUAGAGUCCGGAAGAGGAGAGUGGAAUUCCUGGUGUAGCGGUGAAAUGCGCAGAUAUCGGGAGGAACACCAGUAGCGAAGGCGGCUCGCUGGGCCACACCUGACGCUGAGACGCGAAAGCUAGGGGAGCGAACAGG